rnacentral:rRNA from 1 species
ACUCCUACGGGAGGCAGCAGUGGGGAAUAUUGGACACUGGGCGCAAGCCUGAUCCAGCCAUGCCGCGUGAGUGAUGAAGGCCCUAGGGUUGUAAAGCUCUUUCACCGGUGAAGAUAAUGACGGUAACCGGAGAAGAAGCCCCGGCUAACUUCGUGCCAGCAGCCGCGGUAAUACGAAGGGGGCUAGCGUUGUUCGGAUUUACUGGGCGUAAAGCGCACGUAGGCGGACUAUUAAGUCAGGGGUGAAAUCCCGGGGCGCAACCCCGGAACUGCCUUUGAUACUGGUAGUCUUGAGUUCGAGAGAGGUGAGUGGAAUUCCGAGUGUAGAGGUGAAAUUCGUAGAUAUUCGGAGGAACACCAGUGGCGAAGGCGGCUCACUGGCUCGAUACUGACGCUGAGGUGCGAAAGCGUGGGGAGCAAACAGGAUUAGAUACCCCUGUAGUCCCAU